rnacentral:rRNA from 1 species
UACUACAGCCAUGCCACCCUGAACAUGCCCAAUCUCGUCUGAUCUCGGAAGCUAAGCAGGGUUGGACCUGGUUAGUACUUUGAUGGGAGACCACCUAGGAAUACCAGGUGCUAUAGGAG